AACGAACGCUGGCGGCGCGCUUAACACAUGCAAGUCGAACGAGAAGCUGUAGCAAUACAGUUGUACAGUGGCGAACGGGUGAGGAAUACAUGGGUAACCUACCCUCGAGUGGGGAAGUAACCAGCCGAAAGGCUGGCUAAUACCGCGUACGCUUCCCGGUCUGCGGGUUGGGAAGGAAAGCUCUACCGUGGGUAGAGCGCUCAAGGACGGGCUCAUGUCCUAUCAGCUUGUUGGUAGGGAACGGCCUACCAAGGCAACGACGGGUAGCUGGUCUGAGAGGACGAUCGGCCACACUGGCACUGCGACACGGCCCAGACUCCUACGGGAGGCAGCAGU
rnacentral:rRNA from 1 species